GAUGAACGCUAGCUACAGGCUUAACACAUGCAAGUCGAGGGACCGGCGCACGGGUGAGUCACACGUAUCCAACCUGCCCUUUACUCGGGGAUAGCCUUUCGAAAGAAAGAUUAAUACCCGAUGUAAAGGAUGGGGAUGCGUUCCAUUAGGUUGUUGGUGAGGUAACGGCCCACCAAGCCUUCGAUGGAUAGGGGUUCUGAGAGGAAGUGCCCCUCAAUGGGAACGGGGACACGGGCCACACUCCUACGGGAGGCAGCAGUGAGGAAAAUUGGUCAAUGGGCGUUAGCCUGAACCAGCAAAGUAGCGUGAAGGAUGAAGGCUUCUUGGUCGUAAACUUCUGUUAUAUAAGAAUAUGUAUUAUAUGAAUAAGGAUCGGCUAACUCCGUGCCAGCAGCCGCGGUAAUAC
rnacentral:rRNA from 1 species